AAUGGCUGCAGUAAUAUAACUGUACAAAGGUAGCAUAAUCAUUAGUUUUUUAAUUAAAAGCUUGUAUGAAAGGUUGGACGAAGUAAAAUCUGUCUCUUUUUAAUAUAAUUAGAAUUUAAUUUUUAAGUAAAAAAGCUUAAAUUUUUUUAAAAGACGAGAAGACCCUAUAGAGUUUAAUAAUUUAUUUUAAAUAAUUAAUUUAGAUUUAUUUAUUUUAUUUAUUAUAAAAUUAUUUUAUUGGGGUAAUAAAAAGAUUAAUAUAAUUCUUUUUUUUUAUUUACAUUAAUAUAUGAAUUAAAUGAUCCAUUUUUUAUGAUUAAAAGAUUAAAUUACCUUAGGGAUAACAGCGUAAUUUUUUUUAAGAGUUCAUAUCGAUAAAAAAGUUUGCGACCUCGAUGUUGGAUUAAAGAUUAAUUUAGGUGUAGAAGUUUAAAUUUUUGGUCUGUUCGACCAUUAAAUCUUUACAUGAUCUGAGUUCAAACCGGUGUAAGCCAGGUUGGUUUCUAUCUUUAAAAAAUUUUUAUAUUUUAGUACGAAAGGACCAAAUAUUUAAUAUAUUAAAUAUUUAAUUAUUUUGAAUAU
rnacentral:rRNA from 1 species